rfam:TPA: Bos taurus chromosome 27, whole genome shotgun sequence.
UCCCUGGUGGCUCAGUUGGUAGAGAGUCUGCCUGCAAUGCAGAAGACCCAGGUUCGAUUCCUGGGUCGGGAG